AGAUAAUGACAGGACAAGGGGAAUGGUUUUAAACUAAAAGAGGGGAGAUUUAGAUUAGAUGUUAGGAGGAAAUUCUUCACUCAGAAGGUGGUGAGGCACUGGAACAAGUUGCUCAGAGAAGUUGUGGCUGCCCCA